CCACACAGCGCCCUGCAAACCUGCUGAGUGCUUUCACAUGGUCCCAUGUGAGACCCACGGCCGAUGCCAAACACUCCUGUCCGAAACUGUUUUCAGAGUCAGCUUCAUCUCUAAGCCCCUCCUCGCCCCAGGGUCAAGAGCAUCAAUCAAGAGGGUGGUGGUGGUGGGGUGACAGGAAAGAAUAAAAAGCUCAGCAGCUCAACACAGAGAAGCACCUCCCCUCCCACGGUGAAGGUGUAAAGCAGAAGGCUGGCCAAGGACCAAGGUCCCAGCAAAUGAUGCUGGGAGAAGGCACGCGUCUGAGAGUACACAAGUUCCUGCUGAACCAACUGUGUCCCCAGUUCUUGCCACGAGAGCUACGGGAAGGGGUUUCUCCUUUGGUAAAGAUGAACCCACAACUUCUCUGGAAUGGAGCUGACAUCCUGUUGGAUCCCCUGCCUACAAACCUGUUUUGUGGGUAUUAUGAAUGACUGCAGGCAAAGACUUCAAGAAAAUGUGAAACUCUGCACGAGGAUGCUAGCACGUACGAUUCCUGGCUUCUUGGGAAAUCUCACGCACAAAACUGCCUUUCUCCUCUGCACUGACCGAAUCCACAGUGAGACACCGUGAGGGACAAACUCAGGGAUCGAACUUGGGUCCUUGCACUUGCGCAGCAGGCGGCGAAACCACUAAGCUAAAUCCCCGGCCCAGAUGAAUUCUUAAGAAGUGCUUCAAAAUGUACAUGUCAAGUGGGUUUUUCUUUGCUUUUUUCUUGUUUGGUACUAGGGGAUUGAAUCCAGGGCCUUCCUAUUGAGCUACAUCUCCACCCUUCAAAAUAAUUUUUAAGUUUUGAGACAGCAUCUCACUAAAUUGUUAAAUUGCCUAGGCUGAUCUUGAACUUGUAAUCCUCCUGCCUCAGCCUCCUAGAGUGCUGCAAUCACAGGCAUGUGCCACCUUGCCCAGCUAACUAACUCUUUCUUAACAGACUCCUUAACUUACUUUCUAAAUCUGACUUACAACUAACAGGCAGAUCAUCCUAUAUAUAAUUAUUUCAUUUUACAGGUGAAAUUUGGAGGAAGGAUGGGAGAAAAAAGGAAAGAUUUCCAUUUCCUUUUAUUUAAAUUUGCAAUUCAUUUCUAU
ensembl:lncRNA